rnacentral:rRNA from 1 species
AGUGAACGCUGGCGGUAGGCCUAACACAUGCAAGUCGAACGGCAGCACAGUAAGAGCUUGCUCUUACGGGUGGCGAGUGGCGGACGGGUGAGGAAUACAUCGGAAUCUACUUUUUCGUGGGGGAUAACGUAGGGAAACUUACGCUAAUACCGCAUACGACCUACGGGUGGAAGCAGGGGAUCUUCGGACCUUGCGCGAUUGAAUGAGCCGAUGUCGGAUUAGCUAGUUGGCGGGGUAAAGGCCCACCAAGGCGACGAUCCGUAGCUGGUCUGAGAGGAUGAUCAGCCACACUGGAACUGAGACACGGUCCAGACUCCUACGGGAGGCAGCAGUGGGGGAUAUUGGACAAUGGGCGCAAGCCUGAUCCAGCCAUACCGCGUGGGUGAAGAAGGCCUUCGGGUUGUAAAGCCCUUUUGUUGGGAAAGAAAAGCAGCAGGUUAAUACCCCGCUGUUCUGACGGUACCCAAAGAAUAAGCACCGGCUAACUUCGUG